UACGUAGGGGGCAAGCGUUGUCCGGAAUUAUUGGGCGUAAAGAGCUCGUAGGCGGCCUGUCGCGUCCGCUGUGAAAUCCCGGGGCUUAACCCCGGGCCUGCAGUGGAUACGGGCAGGCUGGAGGCAGGCAGGGGAGAACGGAAUUCCGGGUGUAGCGGUGGAAUGCGUAGAGAUCCGGAAGAACACCGGUGGCGAAGGCGGUCUGCUGGGCAGUAGCUGACACUGAGGCGCGACAGCGUGGGGAGCAAACAGG
rnacentral:rRNA from 1 species